rnacentral:rRNA from 1 species
AUUGAACGCUGGCGGCAUGCCUUACACAUGCAAGUCGAACGGUAACAGGUCUUCGGAUGCUGACGAGUGGCGAACGGGUGAGUAAUGCAUCGGAACGUGCCCAGUAGUGGGGGAUAGCCCGGCGAAAGCCGGAUUAAUACCGCAUACGACCUGAGGGUGAAAGGGGGGGAUCGCAAGACCUCUCGCUAUUGGAGCGGCCGAUGUCAGAUUAGCUAGUUGGUGGGGUAAAGGCCUACCAAGGCAACAAUCUGUAGUUGGUCUGAGAGGACGACCAGCCACACUGGGACUGAGACACGGCCCAGACUCCUACGGGAGGCAGCAAUGGGGAAUUUUGGACAAUGGGCGCAAGCCUGAUCCAGCAAUGCCGCGUGCAGGAAGAAGGCCUUCGGGUUGUAAACUGCUUUUGUCAGGGAAGAAAUCUUCUGGGUUAAUACCCCGGGAGGAUGACGGUACCUGAAGAAUAAGCACCGGCUAACUACGUGCCAGCAGCAGCCGCAGUAA